rnacentral:RNase_P_RNA from 1 species
CUUGGGCAAACGCUGUUUCUUAAAAGAAAUAGAGGAAAGUCCAUGCUCACAAAAGCUGUAAUGCUUUUCGUGUUCGUGCCAAGGGAAAAAAUAACCUUGGGUAGUUUUAUUAAACUAACGGCGACGAGGUAUUCUAAGUCGUAAGAUAAGAAUAUAGUAGUUGUAAAGUGCCACAGUGACGAUUUCUUUUAGAAAUAAAAGAGUGAAACGCGGUAAACCCCACGAGUGAGAAACCCAAAUAAUGGUAGGGGAGCUUCGAGGAGGGAAUAAAAACUAAAUCGAGGACCGAGAAAUCGGUAGAUAAAUGUUUGCCACCUAGUAAUAGGUACAGAACAUGGCUUAUAA